rnacentral:rRNA from 1 species
AGGGUUUGAUCAUGGCUCAGAACGAACGCUGGCGGCAUGCCUAACACAUGCAAGUCGAACGAGACCUUCGGGUCUAGUGGCGCACGGGUGCGUAACGCGUGGGAAUCUGCCCUUGGGUUCGGAACAACAGUUGGAAACGACUGCUAAUACCGGAUGAUGACUUCGGUCCAAAGAUUUAUCGCCCAGGGAUGAGCCCGCGUCGGAUUAGCUUGUUGGUGAGGUAAAAGCUCACCAAGGCGACGAUCCGUAGCUGGUCUGAGAGGAUGAUCAGCCACACUGGGACUGAGACACGGCCCAGACUCCUACGGGAGGCAGCAGUGGGGAAUAUUGGACAAUGGGCGAAAGCCUGAUCCAGCAAUGCCGCGUGAGUGAUGAAGGCCUUAGGGUUGUAAAGCUCUUUUACCCGGGAUGAUAAUGACAGUACCGGGAGAAUAAGCCCCGGCUAACUCCGUGCCAGCAGCCGCGGUAAUACGGAGGGGGCUAGCGUUGUUCGGAAUUACUGGGCGUAAAGCGCACGUAGGCGGCUUUGUAAGUUAGAGGUGAAAGCCCAGGGCUCAACCCUGGAAUUGCCUUUAAGACUGCAUCGCUUGAAUCAUGGAGAGGUGAGUGGAAUUCCGAGUGUAGAGGUGAAAUUCGUAGAUAUUCGGAAGAACACCAGUGGCGAAGGCGACUCACUGGACAUGUAUUGACGCUGAGGUGCGAAAGCGUGGGGGAGCAAACAGGAUUAGAUACCCUGGUAGUCCACGCCGUAAACGAUGAUGACUAGCUGUCGGGGCGCUUGCGUUUCGGUGGCGCAGCUAACGCGUUAAGUCAUCCGCCUGGGGAGUACGGCCG